GACGAACGCUGGCGGCGUGCUUAACACAUGCAAGUCGAACGGAAAGGCCCUGCUUUUGUGGGGUGCUCGAGUGGCGAACGGGUGAGUAACACGUGAGUAACCUGCCCUUGACUUUGGGAUAACUUCAGGAAACUGGGGCUAAUACCGGAUAGGAGCUCCUGCUGCAUGGUGGGGUUGGAAAGUUUCGGCGGUUGGGGAUGGACUCGCGGCUUAUCAGCUUGUUGGUGGGGUAGUGGCUUACCAAGGCUUUGACGGGUAGCCGGCCUGAGAGGGUGACCGGCCACAUUGGGACUGAGAUACGGCCCAGACUCCUACGGGAGGCAGCAGUGGGGAAUAUUGCACAAUGGGCGGAAGCCUGAUGCAGCAACGCCGCGUGCGGGAUGACGGCCUUCGGGUUGUAAACCGCUUUCGCCUGUGAUGAAGCGUGAGUGACGGUAAUGGGUAAAGAAGCACCGGCUAACUACGUG
rnacentral:rRNA from 1 species